rnacentral:lncRNA from 1 species
CCCAACAACCUUCCACCGCCUCGCCGCCAACCAUCCACAUCUCUCUCACCUUCAAGCAGUUGUCGUUGUACUUCUGGUAAAGAAGCCCGUGUUUGCCCAAUGGUGGUGAUCUUGUUCAAGAAGCCCGUGUUUGCCCUAGAUCUAAAGAUGAAUGAGGAGGAGAAGAAGCUGCUCGAUUCCAGCAACAGAUUCAGAUGUGAUAGAGCUAUUCGAAGGAUUGUGUAAGGGCACCCAAUCCAACCUUUCUUCCUAAUUUUGGCAUCGCCUCACGCGGGAGGACGGUAACCUGAAUAGCCCGACGGAGUCCGCAGAUUUUAGUGUGCCGACAAUCGUGAAGCUAGAGUAUGAAGAUUACUACAACGAGGUUAGAAUUAGGUAUGUUAUGGGCAUCUUUGGAUGGUUCAGAUGCAGUACGAGGCCUUGAUUGAGAAGUUUGGUGCUAGCCCUUUGAUUGUGUGAGUACCGUCAAAUAUUUGGAUGAGGUUCGUCACUGUAACUGGCAUGUUUAAUUAUAAUUAGGCUGAUGACAUUGUGCAGGAAUCUGAUUCUCAAAUCCUUUAAGGCGAAUGGGACAAAGGUAACCGUGCAGCUGGCAGAUUCGUGAUUUCGGUGGUGGAGACGGAGGCAGAGUUCACAGUGGCAGUGGAGAGUCAGGUGAAUGAACUUAUGACGGAGUGGGAGAGCGAUGGGCUGCUGAGGAUGGUGGUUGUGGAGAAUAAGCCGCCGCAAGAGGUUUGUAUGGUGAGGGAGAUGAGCCGAUUGGUGGUGGAGGUGAAGGGUGGUGGCGGUGAAGAGUCGCGGCGGGGUUGAUCACAGUUGGGGUGAUCGGAGUAAGUGAAUAAAAUUUUGGGUUUUCUAUUUUUAUUUUUAUGUUUAGUAUGUUUAUUUUAAUGUAUUAUUAAAAAGUACCACAUAAGUAGCCAACUAGAUUGGUUUGUACAAUCAACUAACUCUGUAAGUGCUAUGUAGAAUAACGACAGAAAAGGAGGUUAUGUAUAGAUUCGUAAACUACUUUAAUAAUUCGUGACAUACACUAAAUUACGUAUAUAUUGUGUAUAUUCCGGUAAUUUCCCAAUAGUUCAUGACAUUUGGCUCAUUACAAUAACGGUAUAAUCUUACCUGCAUGGAAAAGUUGGGUGUUUGAUAACACAUUAGUUUGUGGUGUACUAGUGAUCAAUGGGUAUAUGGAGAUGGAUAGGGUUUUUGUAGUGUUGUGUGGCUGG